rfam:Labrenzia alba strain CECT 5096 genome assembly, contig: 0018
AUGACUGACGCCAAGACCGCCGAUGCGCAAUCGGGCUAUGAAAAGGGCUAUACCAUUGCGCUAUCUGCGCAGGCAGGCGCGGACAUGAUCAACCUCAGUGUCG